AUGCUGUAUGAAAAGACAAAAGAUUAGGACUCCCUUUGGUAAGGAUGAAAGUGGUCCUAAAGGCUUUACAACACACAAAUAGUUAAGACAUAUGCCAUUAGGUAGAUGGCAUAUGCUAUAUUUUUUC